CUCUACCUCCGCCAUCUUCACCUAUGCCGGCAACUACGCCUCCACCAUUUCCUCCUUCACCAGCUCUGCCAGCAACAGCACAAAUGUCCUUCACAGGGGAACCAGGAGUGGCAGAUAUGUACUUCACAUCUGGAGCUACUAAACUACAUAAGAAACACUAUAUUUGGUAUCAAUUAGCGAUCGUGUAUGUGUUACAGAAACUACUGUUUGAGAUAUUUGGGUAAACGAAUCGCUUUCACUUGUUGUAAAUAUAGAAAUUUUUUUAUUCUUUUCACUACUUGUAAUCACCAACAAUUAGAUAACUUCCAAAAGUACUAAAAAAAUAAUUAUAGACCUAUCUAAGAAUUUCAUCCAAAAAAGAGUUACUGUAAGCUACUGAUGUAAAUACUUGUCAACUGAGUUAUGUAAGCCUCAAGUUAUCAUUUUCUUCAUCAUUGUACUUGUCAAUUCUCAAAAUUCCUCACCACUACCUUUUCAAUAACAAAUUGUGAUUAUCAGUCAGAUCGUUAAAUAAUGCAAUGCUUCCAAUAACCAGGAAAUGUAAAAAGACAACUCCCUCCGUACAGUUUUUUUCCGAAAUCGAUAGUAAAAUCUUGUGAUAAAUUAAUAUAGAAAAUUGAAUCAAAGGAUAUUUCCAGAAGGAUCGAAACAUUUGACACAAGUAACAAAUUUUCUUCAUUAUAUCAUUUUGCUCACGCCAUUCAAAUUCAAAUAAAUUCUUCACACAAAAAAAUAAAAAAAAAAAUCAGAAAAAUUCUCAGCACUAGAAUUUAGUCACGGUGGAGACGUGCUAUGAAAGAUACUAGAAUUUCAAUCGUACUACUAGUUCAAUUCGCUUUCCCUUGAUUUUCUCAGCAACAGCAACGAAACGCAAAUAAACAGUUGAAAGACAAUUUCACAUAGCAAAUUAAAUCAACAAGACGAGAAGGUAAUCGAGACAGGCAGAGUAGACUCACCAGAAUCUUGCCAGUGAAACAGACGGUGAGGACGACGUCUGAGUUGGAAGAGAAUCGAGAUCCAUCUUUCAAAUGGCCAUCGCUUUCUGUACUUGGAUCCAGAGGCACGAGAUCGGGACACGUGGUGAAGUGGAGGUAGCCGGAGGAGGAAGUGGACCUCCCACUGCUCUCUCUCUCUCUCUCUCUCUAAAUUAUAAUGGCGCUCCGCCACUGCUCGCAUGGUGCAGCCAGAGCCCCCGCCAAUUCUUUCAGGCUAUUUCUCUUUCUUUUCCGUUUCUUCUUUCCGCCUUGGUUUGGGUCCAUGGCAGCAACGAAAUUCGAAAUUUCAGA
rnacentral:lncRNA from 1 species